GUAGGGGACCUGAUCCAAAGCCCAUUGCAAUCAGUGGGAGUCUUUCCAUUGAUUUCAAUGGGCAUUGGAUCAGGUUUAGGGGAG
rnacentral:pre_miRNA from 1 species